rnacentral:lncRNA from 1 species
GUAUUUGUGGUUUUCAUGUGGAUUUAUGGAAAUAGUUUUCUACCCCUCGUGAUAGCCUGUUUUUAAAAGAAAAGAUUUUCGUGUAGAAAACGAUUUUAAAAAGGAUUUUUCGCUUUUUGUGAUUCUAGUAUUUCAAAAUGAGUUUCUGGAUGGAAAACGUUUUAAAAUAAUAGAUGUGGAUUUAUGAACGAAACAUUAUAAUCUUGCGAUUGGUUGAAUGUAAAUCGUGAUAUUGUGAUGUGGUGAAUGUAGACAUGGUUGGUGCAUGCAUGUCUGUGGUUGUAUUUUGUACUUGUGCGACGCCCUGCAAAUAUAGAGGAGACUCUGUCUGUGUGAACAGUGGGUUUUCUGUAUUUGUGGCGAGUAUGGCAUCCCUUGGGUUCAUGGUUUUAAAAAAAAAAUUUAGGCGCUUCCGCUUUCUUUUUACUUAAAAAUGGACCCCAGAGCAUGACAAUAGCACCAAUGACUUCAUGUUAUUAAUAGUUUUCUAGUGUGUGUGUGUGUGUAUAUAUAUAUAUAUAUAUAGUCCGGCUACUAUACUCUUAUGAGUAUAGAACCUUUUGUACUCAUAAAUUUUUUACCGUUUGAUCUACCCUUUAAUCAUUUUCACUCGUUAGAUUAUACUAUUCAACCAACCACCCACUCAACCCUAGGG